rnacentral:rRNA from 1 species
GUACACUCCUACGGGAGGCAGCAGUGGGGAAUAUUGGACAAUGGGCGCAAGCCUGAUCCAGCCAUGCCGCGUGAGUGAUGAAGGCCCUAGGGUUGUAAAGCUCUUUCACCGGUGAAGAUAAUGACGGUAACCGGAGAAGAAGCCCCGGCUAACUUCGUGCCAGCAGCCGCGGUAAUACGAAGGGGGCUAGCGUUGUUCGGAUUUACUGGGCGUAAAGCGCACGUAGGCGGACUAUUAAGUCAGGGGUGAAAUCCCGGGGCUCAACCCCGGAACUGCCUUUGAUACUGGUAGUCUUGAGUUCGAGAGAGGUGAGUGGAAUUCCGAGUGUAGAGGUGAAAUUCGUAGAUAUUCGGAGGAACACCAGUGGCGAAGGCGGCUCACUGGCUCGAUACUGACGCUGAGGUGCGAAAGCGUGGGGAGCAAACAGGAUUAGAUACCCGUGUAGUCCCA